AGUUAAAAAGCUACAUGUCAAGCAUGCGUCUUGAAAGCGCAAUUAAGAGGUUCAAAUCCCCUGUUAACUU
rnacentral:tRNA from 1 species